rnacentral:rRNA from 1 species
CCUACGGGUGGCAGCAGUGGGGAAUAUUGGGCAAUGGACGCAAGUCUGACCCAGCGACGCCGCGUGAGGGAUGAAGGCCUUCGGGUUGUAAACCUCUUUCAGUAGGGAAGAAGCGAAAGUGACGGUACCUAAAGAAGAAGCACCGGCUAACUAUGUGCCAGCAGCCGCGGUAAUACAUAGGGUGCAAGCGUUGUCCGGAAUUAUUGGGCGUAAAGAACUCGUAGGUGGUUCGUUGCGUCGGGUGUGAAAUUCGGGGGCUCAACCCCUGACCUGCACUCGAUACGGGCGGACUGGAGUUUGGUAGGGGAGACUGGAAUUCCUGGUGUAGCGGUGGAAUGCGCAGAUAUCAGGAGGAACACCAAUGGCGAAGGCAGGUCUCUGGGCCAAUACUGACACUGAGGAGUGAAAGUGUGGGGAGCGAACAGGAUUAGAUACCCUUGUAGUCC